rnacentral:rRNA from 1 species
UACGAGAGGCCCAAACGUUAUUCGGAAUUACUGGGCGUAAAGGGCUCGUAGGCGGCCAACUAAGUCAGACGUGAAAUCCCUCGGCUUAACCGGGGAACUGCGUCUGAUACUGGAUGGCUUGAGAUUGGGAGAGGGAUGCGGAAUUCCAGGUGUAGCGGUGAAAUGCGUAGAUAUCUGGAGGAACACCGGUGGCGAAGGCGACAUCCUGGACCAACACUGACGCUGAGGAGCGAAAGCCAGGGGAGCAAACGGG